GAAAUAUUGCACAAUAUCAGUAUCUACACCAGGCAUGUCUUUAUAUGACCAAGCAAAGACGUCAACAUACUCUCGUAGCAACUCAAUCAACCCCUUCUUAAUAGAUUCUUCAAGAAGUACCCUAAUCUUCACUUCUCGAACACAAUCUUCAGACCCCAAGUUGACUGUUUCCAAAUUCUCAAGAUGUGGCUGAAUGAUCUUCUCCUCGUACUCAAGAAGAUGGGUAAUCGCAGCAAG
rnacentral:lncRNA from 1 species